rnacentral:rRNA from 1 species
CAGUAGCCGCGGGAAUACGAAGGGGGCUAGCGUUGUUCGGAUUUACUGGGCGUAAAGCGUGCGUAGGCGGUGAGUUAAGUCUGCUGUGAAAUCCCCGGGCUCAACCUGGGAAUGGCAGUGGAUACUGGCUCGCUAGAGUGUGUCAGAGGAUGGUGGAAUUCCCGGUGUAGCGGUGAAAUGCGUAGAGAUCGGGAGGAACAUCAGUGGCGAAGGCGGCCAUCUGGGACAACACUGACGCUGAGGCACGAAAGCGUGGGGAGCAAACAGGAUUAGAUACCCCCGUAGUCCCUGUCUCUUAUAC